rnacentral:rRNA from 1 species
CAGCCGCCGCGGUAAUAUGUAGGGUGCGAGCGUUAAUCGGAAUUACUGGGCGUAAAGCGUGCGCAGGCGGUUUGUUAAGACAGAUGUGAAAUCCCCGGGCUUAACCUGGGAACUGCAUUUGUGACUGGCCGGCUAGAGUAUGGCAGAGGGAGGUGGAAUUCCACGUGUAGCAGUGAAAUGCGUAGAUAUGUGGAGGAACACCGAUGGCGAAGGCAGCCUCCUGGGCCAAUACUGACGCUCAUGCACGAAAGCGUGGGGAGCAAACAGGAUUAGAUACCCGCGUAGUCCCUGUCUCUUAUAC